ensembl:lncRNA
AUAUCCUGGGCCUGGGUUGCUUUCUGACAAGGAAUGUUGUGUAGCUGGAGACCCCUUCACCAGUUGAAUGAGUUCAGCUCUUCUUUCUAUAUAUGAACACUGACCUGUCUGCAAGUACUUUGUCUGUUAUUACCAAGAACCUGUCAGAAGCAAUUUGCUGCUUUGUCAACAGAACAACAACCAUAGAACUAACUUAACUAUCCCCAAACUUUUCUGUAUUACAAAGUUUAAUACUUUGUAUUAAAAAAAGUCUUAGUACAGUUUCUGAGUUACUGAUAAAAGUGAAGUUUAUUGGCUACUUAUUCCUGCCUAGGACAACUACGGGGGGACAACUGAUAUUUCUCAGAAGAAGUCCAUCACUUCGCCAGGGUGGAAGAGCAGAAAUGUAUUCUGCUUCCUGUUGCACAGGAGAGCAAACAUUUGUUUGCCAAGACUUUUUAAGUGUUUAAGGGUCAGUUGGAUUUUGAUCAGAAACAAAACAGUAGAGGUGGUACACACAAUAGACUGCAAUCAGAAGGGCUCACUGCCCACAUCUGGGUUACCUCCAUCUUCUUUCUGUUAGCCUAUUCUCUACUCCUAUCUGUUUCUGGAUCCUUCAGUUGCUCCAAAACAGUUAAAAACAAACCAUAUGUAAUAUAAUGACACAUGUAAUCUGUCAGGUCAGCCCUAAGACAUUUUUGCUGUUUAACUUUCCCAGAGCCAUAAAAACCCUUCCAAUUUAUUGGAUCAUGCCAACUUCACCCAAAGUAUUCUUGGCUGUUACUAAAAAUUUGUAUCUGUCCAUCUUUUUUUUUCUUUUCUUUUUUUCUUUUUUUUUUUUCCUGGGUCUCUUUUGACUGUAAUCUAUCCAGAUGGCCAGAUUGUGUCUGACCUUGUUCUAGCUGCUGGAGCAAAUCAAUACACUGUUAUCCUCUCCCUAAACCACUGAACUGUAAACACCUUCCGUGUUCCUCCUUACUGUUAUUUGAUACCUGCAAGACCACUAUACUUGUGAGACCAUAAACAGCCCACUGCCCAGUUGAUGUAAUGCCUUCCAGCUUAAGAACUUCUAUCCUAGGAACUAGGUCUGUGAACAGGGAAUAGUAUUCUUGGAGUGACAGAUGACUUUUUUGAAGUACUUGUGAGUACCUAAGAACCAGAGACAUCCUGAAUGUACCAUCCAAAAUUUUCUGACUCAGGUGGUUAGAAGGGAUCUCAUGAGUUGAUCUUGUCCACUUACCUGCUAUAAGAAUGUCCACUUACAAUGGAUUGCUCAGGACCUUGUCUGGUUAAGUAAUUAACAUCUUCAGGAAUGAAUAGUCUAGAACAUUUCUAGGCAAACUCUUUCUGUGUUUUACCAUAUUCAUAGUAAAAAAUACUUUGCAUAUAUCUAAGCAGUUAUUUCUCGUGUUUCAGCUUGUAUCCAUUUCCUUCCAUCCUUCUACAGUGGAGUCUUGUUUCAUCUUCUUGGUACCCUCUGCUCAGGUAGUAGUGGACAGCAGUAAGAUCGCCCCUUAGUCUUCUCUUUUUGAGGCUGAACAAACCCAGUGCCAUCACCUCUCCACGUAUGUCAUGUGAUUAAUCUCCUGACUAACCUCGUGACUCAGUUUGGCCAGGUCUCCACAGUACUGGGAAAUGCACAGCUACCUAUAUCCAACACCUGAGAGAUCACAAGUGCUGAAUAAAAGAAAGUAAUCACUUAGCUCAACCUGCUGUGUACAUCCAGAUCAUACAGCACAGUAGGAUGUUGUCUGCCUUUGCCACAAGGGUGCACUGCUAGCUUAAAUUGAACUUGCUAUCACCUGUCACAACUCCCUUUGCCUCCAGUUCUUUUUAUACUAAAUUGCCUUCUAGACAACUUGCAUAGUUUUGUGUGUCCGUUCCAUUCCCAGGGCUUUGCCUAUGUUUAUGAUAAAAACUAGAAUAAUUCCUCUCAGUCAGAACUGGAAAAAAAUGGGAGAGCUACAAGACAAAAAUAAUAAUAAUUGAUUUCAUAUGGUGCUUUAUCAGCUACUUCUAAGUCAUAAUUCUUAAGACCUAGAUGUCAGCUAGCAAGUAAGAUGUAGCAUCCCUUCAAUAAAGUUACCAGAAAUAAACAAUUAAUAAG